AAAUCGAGAGGGUGGAGGAGAGGAAAAACUCAGGCAAUCACGCCAGCCUCUGAAAUCAACAGCGGCGUCCUCCAUCAGCUCGUCGUCGGGAGCAUCCUCGUGCACGUCGCGGGCCUCCAUCUACUUGUCGCCGGCGGCCUCCUCGUGCUCGUCGCCGGCGGCCUUCUCCUAGCGCUCGGUGGUGCCCCUCUCGGCGGCGGCCUCCGCAGCAUGGCCGGGGAUGCACAUCUCCGCGGCGUGCUCGGCAGCGGCGAUGCAGCACUCCGACGCCCAUCCCGUGUGGCGCUCCGCCUCUCGGGUGAGGUGCUCCUCCGCGUGGCCUGAGAGAGAGUAAUUAUGUGGCUGAGAAAGCUCGUGAGGGGAUAAGGACCAAAGGUGAGAGCGAUGCGGUUCCUAAUAGGGAGCGAUGCAUUUUUUCCGCCGCACCGGAGGCUCAACGAUGCGGCGCCUCUCUUUAGAUUUUCCCAUCAAUGAUUGGCCCAUAUUUUGUCUUGGAAGCGCAGUAGAUCUUAAUAAUUUGUCUUACAUUUAUUGUAACUGCAUUCAAGUGUUGGUUUGUGGGAGGGUGGCAGUUCAACUGAUGCUGUAACUAAUGCCUCUGUUGGACCUGGAGGUGGUUCUGGAGGUACAGUUCUUCUAUUUGUGCGCGCACAUUGUCCCUAGCGGAGAGCUCCGUCCUUUCAAGUGCUGGAAGCUUUGGAAGAGCUGGCAGUAGUGGUGCAGGAGGGGAAGGAUUCACUUCCAUUGGUCUCACAUUCCUAUUGGAGAUGAAUAUGUCCUGUUGCAGCUAUUGAAGGAUCAAUACUUGCAUGGCAGUAGGAGAGAACUUGACCUGGAGCUGCCUGGUCCGGUGUGACAUGGCCUUUCUACCUCCGGUGAAGCUGCUGUUGCUGUGUUGGCACACCUUGUGCAUGGUUUUAGGCCUGACCAUCCCUUGGCUUUGACUACCUUGCUUCUUGCCGUCGUGCUAUGACCGCGAGUUCACCGCGCCGCAACCACUGUGGUGGUGAUUCUCUGCCUCGUCUAUAACCUCUUGAGUUAGCAUAUGGAAACUUCCUGGUUUCCUUUGUGGCCUCCUGAUGGUGGCGACGAUGGCGAGUGUAGGGUCGACCAUGGCCUCCUGUAGUGCAGUCGUAGGCCAUGCUUGGCCCUCUCGGCCUCCUUUUCUUCCUUUGGUUGGUGACACGGCGCUCGUGCUGGCCAUACCGCAACCAUGGUGGCGCUGGCCUCACCUCCUUGCCGGUGAUGGGAUGUAGAUGCGGCAGGUUGUUGUGGCCCUUGCACUUGAAGUGGAGGAGUGGAGCUGGAGUUCCGGCCGGCCGGCCAUGCUUUCUUUGUCGAUUACAGAUACAACAGUGCCUGAAGACUCAAUACUACCAGUAGUAGUUGAUAGAUGGUGACUACGGGGUCAACCAUGACCUCCUGUAGUGCAGUCGUAGGCCAUGGUUGGCCCUCAGCCUCCUCUUCACUCUCGCUCCCGAUCGAUUUCUCCUAGCAGGCUCUGAGGACCUCCAUUUAGUUGUGGAAGGUCAGAUUCAUCCUAUUCUACAUCACCAGUUCUCCAAGAAAGGGACCAAGAAGGGUAUCAAGGAGUCCUUGUCCUAGAAGGUGUCCUAGAGGAAGGAGCAUUCCCAACAGUAGCCGGAGCAGUAGCUUGCCUUCCCCGAGGCGCAAGUAGAGCUCGUGACAUGUGUGCUCACUGGCAGGUGACACGUCAGCGCUCUGUUACAUAUGUUGGAGGCUUGUUGGACCAAAUUAAAUGGGAGUCUCAUAAAUAGUUUUUGGUGCCAGUAUUCUGGCGGCGGUGGCAAAAGAACACACUUCAUGGGAACAGGUUUUGCUGCGAGCAGCGGCAAUGAUGACAGCUGUGACAUGGUGAGAUAUACCGGUGGCUCUCCACCGUCAGGAUCUCAUGCACUAGCCCAUCUUCAUGGUGGGGCCUCGUUCCACCCGCUCCCAUUUACUUGUUAUGCCACUCCUGAUACUCGUUAUGCCACUCCUGAUCUUGGACUUACCGUGCAUCUUCAAUUCUUGGACUCUCAAGAACUAGGAAGAGGAGGGUGAUGCGGCCCGAACUCGCCUCGCGUGUGUGGCUCUGCCUGGUCCACCGAACUCUCUCGCCGACCGGCCUUGGUGGCCGGCUCGCCUCCGGACAGUAGCUUUGGGUCUGGCGUGACUCAGAAAGCGUCCAUCCUUGUGUAGGCAGGGUAAUGUUGAGUAGUAUAGUCGACAAGUGCGCCAGGCCAGUAGUUGUAAUUGUCCAGUAACAUCCAGUCCUGUCAUUCUUCAAGACAUGUACUAGUGUGGUAACCGUUUCUUUUGUUGGUUAGACUUGUGAUGGUGCUGGAUUGUGUGCUAGACUGGUAGAUGAGCUCUGCUGGUUGCACUUUUGUUGUUCAUUGUUGGAUAUGUGUGAUCUGAAGUGUAGUAAAAAGAUGAGAAGUCAUGUUGAAUUUAUUGACGCACUUGCUAAUUUACUAGCUGAUAUAUUACCUUAACUCUUUUCCCCCAGAUGGGUCUCCAAGCUGAAAUGCUCAAAACGCUGAUCUAGCCUGAUUGUAUCCAGUAUUCCCCAGAUGCAGUCUGUUUGCGCUUCUUGUAAACAAGGGGCAAAUGAAUGGAAAGGAAAAAGUAGCGGCAAGCAAUCAAGCGUAGAUGAAAAAAGUGG